GCUAACAACCGGCUAACAGAAAGUUUCGUCACAGGUGGUGAACUGCAGUGGGAGAAUACACGACAAGCAAGCACUCUGAACAAUGGGAAGAAGGUUCUUUUCUUUUUAAAUGAAGAAUUUAAAAGUGAGCUGAGCUCUAGAAGGAGAAACUUCUGUUCAUUUUUUUCUGAGUUGGUCUUUUUUCUCUCGUCUUUUGAACAUCGUUUUGGAGAACUUAUCAGAUACAAGACAAGGAAAGGAACAACAGAGGGAUGGUGAAGAGGAAAAUAGAAAAGACAUUCUCAAUUAGAAGAUAUAAAGUGAUCCAGUGAUAAAAGACUUCCACGAUGGCAAUCUUUGAAGUAUGUCAGGUAGGCUGGUGCUAAAGAUGACAUUAUUGAUGGAGGAGAAUGCAUCAUUAAAGAGCUGUGCAUCUACCUGGACGAGGAUCCUGAAAAUAUCUAUGUGGUAACUUCAAAUAUAAGGCCUUAAAGGGGAGGAGUUUUUGGUCACUUGAAAUGUUUGCAUUUUUAAAAAAGUAAAAUCUUAAAAGUAAGAUGUCAGUUGUUCUUGACUGUUUUGUUGUAAGUCUUGUUGUAAAAAGAAUAAUAGAUUUUAUUGUUUGUUGACAUGUUCAUAUGUAUAAUUUUCUGUAAAACUGGAUGAUUAGAAAAACCUGAUUAUCACUUCAUAGAACUGAUUAUUGAUCAAGCUGCUGUAUGAAUUUAUUUUAAUUAGACCACAGACUGAAAUAAAGCAAAUGUAUAAACUU